UACAUGGGGUGCAAACGUUGCUCGGAAUUAUUGGGCGUAAAGCGCACGUAGGCGGUUCGUUAAGUCGGAUGUGAAAGCCCUCGGCUCAACUGAGGAAGUGCACCCGAAACUGGCGAGCUUGAGUACGAAAGAGGAUCGCGGAAUUCCCGGUGUAGAGGUGAAAUUCGUAGAUAUUGGGAAGAACACCGAUGGCGAAGGCAGCUCUCUGGACCGUUACUGACGCUGAGGCGCGAAAGCGUGGGGAGCAAACAGG
rnacentral:rRNA from 1 species